rnacentral:rRNA from 1 species
AUUGAACGCUGGCGGCAUGCCUUACACAUGCAAAUCGAACGGUAACGGGCCUUCGGGUGCCGACGAGUGGCGAACGGGUGAGUAAUACAUCGGAACGUGCCCGAUCGUGGGGGAUAACGAGGCGAAAGCUUUGCUAAUACCGCAUACGAUCUACGGAUGAAAGCAGGGGACCGCAAGGCCUUGCGCGGACGGAGCGGCCGAUGGCAGAUUAGGUAGUUGGUGGGAUAAAAGCUUACCAAGCCGACGAUCUGUAGCUGGUCUGAGAGGACGAUCAGCCACACUGGGACUGAGACACGGCCCAGACUCCUACGGGAGGCAGCAGUGGGGAAUUUUGGACAAUGGGCGCAAGCCUGAUCCAGCCAUGCCGCGUGCAGGAUGAAGGCCUUCGGGUUGUAAACUGAUUUUGUACGGAACGAAAAGCCUUCUUUUAAUACAGGAGGGUCAUGACGGUACCGUAAGAAUAAGCACCGGCUAACUACGUG